GAGGCGGUUACGAUACCAGUCAUCUUCUUGCUUUGCAAAAUUCCAGCGUUUUCUCUGUGAUUUUAGUCAUCUUCUUGCAAUUUGAGUCAUCACUAUGGAGAACGAUUUGAUUGUCCACUGCCCUAAUUGCGACCGUGAGGUGCUGAAUCUCUUAAAACACACUUGAUCGACGAGCACAGUUUGAAAAUUGUGCAAUGCAUGUGAGAAGCCAUUGGAGGAGAAGAGAUGCUACGUGUGGACCAAAGAUGGCGGAGGUCUGAAAGCCCGUUGGAGUUCCAAGCACAGAGCUGACUUCACUUUCUGCAAAAUCAACAAGUGCGUGCUUCCUAUGACUCCAGCUGGGGAGACUCAUACGUGCGAAUACAAAUGAUUCGGUUAUUCAAAGUUUCAAUAUGGUGGAUGUAUUGAUCUGGAUUCUUUGUAAGCAGUUAAGAUACGAGAAAUUCAUCCGGUGGAGGAACACAUGCAGUAGGUUGUUUUUUUGAAACUUUAGACUAUAAUGCUUUCCCCAUUUGUGCUGGGUUACAUAUCUUAAGGAGCAGGUAAUGCUCAUGACCCCAAGUAGUGAUGAGUUACAAAUCUUAAAGGAGCCGGUAAUGCUCACCUAGUGCUGGAUUACAAAUCUUAAAGAGCUGGUAAUGCUCACCCAAUGCUGGAUUAUAAAUGUUUACAGAGCUGGUAAUGCUCACCUAGAAUCUUAUGGUAGUAGAGCUACAAAAUGGUGGUGAAUGAUACAGAUAU
rnacentral:lncRNA from 1 species